rnacentral:rRNA from 1 species
CGGUGUUCAACUGGCGUGCCCGCGGGACGUCCUGCCGGUGAGCUCAGCCCGCGAGGGCGGCUCAACUUGAAAUCCCAUCGCGGUGCUCUUCAUUGAGUGUCGAGGUGGGCCGGCACGAUUACUUUUGAACAAAUUAGAGUGCUUAAAGCAGGCUAAAAUUUUGCCUGAAUACUGUGUAUAUGGAAUAAUGGAAUAGGACCUCGGUUCUAUUUUGUUGGUUUUCGGAACCCCGAGGUAAUGAUUAAUAGGAACGGAUGGGGGCAUUCGUAUUGCGACGUUAGAGGUGAAAUUCUUGGAUCGUCGCAAGACGGACUAAAGCGAAAGCAUUUGCCAAAAACGCUUUCAUUGAUCAAGAACGAAAGUUAGAGGUUCGAAGGCGAUCAGAUACCGCCCUAGUUCUAACCAUAAACUAUGCCAGCUAGCGAUCCGCCGACGUCCCUCUGAUGACUCGGCGGGCAGCUUCCGGGAAACCAAAGCUUUUGGGUUCCGGGGGAAGUAUGGUUGCAAAGCUGAAACUUAAAGGAAUUGACGGAAGGGCACCACCAGGAGUGGAGCCUGCGGCUUAAUUUGACUCAACACGGGAAACCUCACCAGGCCCAGACACUGGAAGGAUUGACAGAUUGAGAGCUCUUUCUUGAUUCAGUGGGUGGUGGUGCAUGGCCGUUCUUAGUCGGUGGAGCGAUUUGUCAGGUUAAUUCCGAUAACGGACAAGACUCUGACCUGAUAACUAGACGCACUUGCGGCAUCUCAAAGGUCCGCCGGCGGCUGGCUUUGCGCCCGUCGUCGCGCGCGAUUUUUACUGCCGGCGUACAAUAAAUUCUUCUUAGAGGGACAAGUGG